CAGUCAAAGAACUUGUUGAAACCCAUCAGUAUAAAUUCAACUGAUCACUGUAGACAAGUGUCUGCCAGUUAAAACAAAGUGCUCUGUUAGGUGGAGCUCAUAAUCCCUGAAAGGCAAUCCACCUAGGAGAAGGAAAUCUGAUUACAACCCCCUGGACCCCAAUACUGAGCCAGGGUGUCCAUAUUGGAUUCAUUGAUCUUCGGUGCACAGCAAUACACUUUUCAGGACUGAAGUAAGGAGCAAGGAGUAAUUUUAAAGAAUAAAAAAAUCAAUGUCAAUAUACAAAAUGUUGUGCUUGAACAUCCAAUGUAUUUGAUAACUGGUCUUUUAUAUAAUGAAAUAUUACUGUUCAUAAACAUUUAACCAUUAACAUGAUAAAGGCUUUCAUUUGUUAGCAAAAUUUGCUGUGGUUAGUAGACAGAGAAAGCUUAUAAUAAGUUUGAAGCAAUUUUGAACUGCAAUUUUCUUCUUUUGGUGUAUGUGUUAGAGU